UGGGGAAUUUUGCACAAUGGAGGAAACUCUGAUGCAGCGACGCCGCGUGAGUGAUGAAGAUCUUCGGAUUGUAAAACUCUGUCCUUAGUGAAGAUAAUGAUAGUAACUAAGAAGCAAGCCCUGGCUAAAUACGUGCCAGCAGCCGCGGUAAUACGUAUGGGGCAAGCGUUGUCCGGAAUUAUUGGGCGUAAAGGGUACGUAGGCGGUUUAAUAAGUCCUAAUUAAAAGGCUAUGGCUCAACCAUGGUAUGGUUAGGAAACUGUUGAACUUGAGUAGAUGAGGGGAAAGUGGAAUUCCAUGUGUAGCGGUGAAAUGCGUAGAUAUAUGGAGGAACACCAAUGGCGAAGGCAACUUUCUGGAAUCAAACUGACGCUGAGGUACGAAGGCGUGGGGAGCAAACAGG
rnacentral:rRNA from 1 species